GCGUCUAUACACGACAACUCACCACCGAGGCUACUGGCUGCGACCCGUGAGGGAACGUGGUAGGCGUCCUCGCUUGGCGUGAUUCGUGUUGCACGGUGCAAGGGCCACCGAUCGGAGGAGGCUAUGGAGCGAUGCAACCGAUAGAACCACGCGACGCCAUGCUCAGCGACGACAACAGGCGUGCAGAGUGCUGGAGCCCGCCAGCGGGGCGGUACGGGUGACACGAUUUUUUCUUUGAUCAUCAAUAUAUUGGAUCUGCUUAAUAAUGCAUACCGCUUGACCGUGUAGAGGAAGAAUCGAAGCCUGUCGCGUAGGACAGUUCGGCUAGGCUGAGGGACCUGCCGACUUGACGAAGAGUCGAUGCAGAUCUGAUCUCGCAGCAACGUCGAGGUAGAGCGUGCUGAUAACGUGUUGAGAACUACGUUACAACGGAUCACCAGAUCCGCUCCCUUCCCUCCCGUCAGCAGAUUAGGCGCGAGAAGAUGUGGAAGACUCGUAUCCCUUCCCAGAAACACGAUAGAGGAAACACACGAGACAUUAUGUAGGGUUGGGCCUUUGGCCUCUUUCUCUUCUCUGUAUUAUGAGGGGGUGUACAGGUUCCUUAUAUAGAGAUGUGAGACCCCUCAGGAGCAAAAUAGGUAUUUGCCCACAUAACCCUAACUAGGGUUACUUAACAGAUCUGACCAAGCAAGGCCAAGGCAACGAGAGAUUCCACUGCCGCCACGUCGUUCACACAAGCAAAGAUGAGUCGGUAUUCCGUUAUCAUCACAUUUCUUUCCUCCAUCUUGAAACGAUUGCAAAGAUUGAUGGGCCAAUUCUAGGCUGGCUUUUGCUUCUCCAAUAAAAAAAA
rnacentral:lncRNA from 1 species